UACGUAGGGUGCGAGCGUUGUCCGGAAUUACUGGGCGUAAAGAGCUCGUAGGUGGUUUGUCGCGUUGUUCGUGAAAACUCACAGCUCAACUGUGGGCGUGCGGGCGAUACGGGCAGACUAGAGUACUGCAGGGGAGACUGGAAUUCCUGGUGUAGCGGUGGAAUGCGCAGAUAUCGGGAGGAACACCAGUGGCGAAGGCGGCGACCUGGGCCAAUAUUGACGCUGAGGUGCGAAAGCGUGGGGAGCAAACAGG
rnacentral:rRNA from 1 species